rnacentral:rRNA from 1 species
GGCCUUUAGCCCCACAAGUAUUAAAGGUCCCGCCUGCCCAGUGAACCACUUUAAACGGCCGCGGUACUCUAACCGUGCAAAGGUAGCGUAAUCACUUGCCCCUUAAAUAGGGGCUCGUAUGAAUGGCUAAAUGAGGGCCUCACUGUCUCCUGCGCUAAGCCAAUGAAACUGCUCUCCCAGUACAAAAGCUGGGAUAACUACACAAGACGAGAAGACCCUGUGGAGCUUUUAACUGACACACCAAAUCACAUCCUAUGGUACUAACUUUAAGUUGGGGCAACUGCGGAGAAUCACCUAACCUCCAUGAAACAGGACUCACAUCCGCCCGAGGCAGACAAACCAAAGACACACCCUUUAGACCCAGCAUAACGCUGAGCAUCGAACCAAGUUACCCCAGGGAUAACAGCGCCAUCCCCCUCAAGAGUCCAUAUCGCCAGGGGGGUUUACGACCUCGAUGUUGGAUCAGGACACCCCGGCGGUGCAGCCGCUGCCAACGGUUCGUUUGUUCAACGACUAACGUCCUACGUG